CGGGCAGUAGUUCAGUGGUAGGGUUCCCGUUUCAUAUUCGGGAAGGGCUGGGUUCGAUUCCCGGCUGCUUAC
rnacentral:tRNA from 1 species